GACGAACGCUGGCGGCGUGCUUAACACAUGCAAGUCGAACGAAAAGAGGGAAAGAGCUUGCUCUUUCCGGAAUUGAGUGGCAAACGGGUGAGUAACACGUAAACAACCUGCCUUCAGGAUGGGGACAACAGACGGAAACGACUGCUAAUACCGAAUAAGUUCCAAGAGCCGCAUGGCCCAUGGAAGAAAAGGUGGCCUCUACCUGUAAGCUAUCGCCUGAAGAGGGGUUUGCGUCUGAUUAGCUGGUUGGAGGGGUAACGGCCCACCAAGGCGACAAUCAGUAGCCGGGCUGAGAGGAUGAACGGCCACACUGGAACUGAGACACGGUCCAGACUCCUACGGGAGGCAGCGGUGGGGGAUUCUGCCGCAAUGGGCGAAACUUGACGGAUCAACGCCGCGUGGAGUGAUGACGGCCUUCGUGGUGAAUACUCGGUGAUGCGGGGCUGAAUGUGGAGAGUGGGAAUGAUGUCGUCUGUGACUGUGCGUGAAAAGUAUGCCUGGCUGACUACGUGCCGCCGCCCGGUAAUGUGUGUGUUGCAAUCUUUGUCGUAGUGUGUGCGUAUGGUGCGGUGGUGCUGCCUGUGCCUUUGGAGUCUGUGGUAUGCUGUUGUGGAAGGAUGUGUGUGCUGAGUGUGUGAGUGGUGUGUCCUAUUGUAGUUGUGUAUAUGAUUGGUGUAGAUGUGUUUUAUUGGUCGCUUGUGGUUGAGUGUGAGGUGUGGGCGCGAGUGGCUCGUGAGCAGAUUGAUGCCUGUUGUGUAUGGCUGUGUCGUUGUUGUAUGUUUCGUUUUGUGGUUGUGCUUGCUGGCUGUCAGACAAAUCGUGUGUGCUAGUUUUUGUGUGUGUGAUGUGUAUAGUUUAUGUUGUUUGAGCUUGUCGUGUGAUGGUAGUGGUAGUAUCGAUGACAGCCCUACAUCUGGUUUGAGUGAGAUACGUA
rnacentral:rRNA from 1 species